GCCCUGAUAGCUCAGAUGGAUAGAGCGACCGCCUCCUAAGCGGUAGGCCGCUGGUUCGAAUCCAGUUCAGGGUGCCA
rnacentral:tRNA from 1 species